GGAGGAUGCGAGCGUUAUCCGGAUUUAUUGGGUUUAAAGGGUGCGUAGGUGGUGAUUUAAGUCAGCGGUGAAAGUUUGUGGCUCAACCAUAAAAUUGCCGUUGAAACUGGGUUACUUGAGUGCGUUUGAGGUAGGCGGAAUGCGUGGUGUAGCGGUGAAAUGCAUAGAUAUCACGCAGAACUCCGAUUGCGAAGGCAGCUUACUAAACCAUAACUGACACUGAAGCACGAAAGCGUGGGGAUCAAACAGGAUUAGAUACCCUGGUAGUCCACGCAGUAAACGAUGAUUACUAGGAGUUUGCGAUACAAUGUAAGCUCUACAGCGAAAGCGUUAAGUAAUUCACCUGGGGAGUACGCCGGCAACGGUGAAACUCAAAGG
rnacentral:rRNA from 1 species